GUUUCCAGUCUCCCUGCAGUCAAAGGUGGAUCUUUGAACCACGUUUUAAUUGAAGAAAGUUGCUUAUUUGUGGAUUCUGCACUUUUCUUUCAGGUCUGCAUCUUUGCUGCUGCCGUAAAGAGUCAGAAGAGCACCAGAUAUCGUAGAGAAGUAUUUCCAACAAAUAGUUUUGGGUUGUUUGAAGAAACUUGACUCAUUAGGGAUGGACGUGUCCUGCUGCUCUAUCACGUGAUGCAUACUGCUCCGACGUUCUGAGAGACACAGCCAGCCAGGUGGACAGCAGGUGAGCCAGAGUCGGAAGUGACACGUGG
ensembl:lncRNA